GACCAGGCCUGGAGGCACGAAUGUGUCUGGAUUUACAAGAAUGUACUGAGUUAAUUUUGUCAGCUGCGCGUUAUUUUCCUUCUUCCUCCUUUUUGGACGUCGACCCAUCCUCCGUGUUUAGAGAAAGAAAUCAAAUAAGUUCCUCGUAGAAUUUUACCUCCAUUGUGCCUUUGACCAUCACUGAUAACCCUGUGAGGCAGGUAGCAUUAUCACCGCAGCAGAGCACAGGAAAGGAAAGCUCAGAGAAGGUGACAUUCGCAGUCCAGGCAUGCGCCACAGUGGCUGAGGGAUCUCCCCGCUGCAGAGAAGAGAAAUGCAACAUCGCUGGCCAGGGUGCAGGAAACCGAAUGUGAUGGCUUCAAAGAGGAGGAAGGAAGCCAAAGUGAGGAAGAAGAGGGGAUGAAGAUUCAAAGUAUAGGUGGCCAUAGGGAAGGGCAGGAGAGAUGACUCCGGCCUUGGAGGCAGAGCCAGGGAAGAGGAAACACACAAAUGAAAGAAAGAAAGCCACAGCAAAGAAGCCACCUCAGCGUCUUGACUUUCCAGCAACUCCGGGUGCCCCACAACACAUGGCACGGAGCCCACUGGGUGUUCCCAGUGCUUUUCAGAACCCACCCCAAAACAGCGAGGGUCUCCAACCAGGGAAAGAAGAAUUAAAGCUGCCAAGACCCCAUUUUGUUUUUCCAUAAAUAUCCAA